UCCCUCUCGGAACAGCUUCCAUGCGCUGUUGAUGGAGACGCAAUUUCUGAUGAUCUUGCUGGAACUUCCACAUCUUUCUUGAAAGAGAUUCUUCCAGCAGUGAUGAUGGAUCCGAAUUCUGCAGAUUCAGAUAAAACAUAAGGAAGGAAGAUAUGAAUGCCAAAGAGCCAACUCAGAUUAUCAUUAAGAUUAAAAUUGCAUUAGCAAAAUCAACAACAUAUGAAGCAGAGCAAGUUCUGUGUUUCAGGAUAUUACAGCAAAAAGAAAUGGAACUUUACAUUUAUAUAUAGGAACAUGAAAUGCACGAGCUGAACUUUGAUGUUUGAAGCCGUCUUGGUAACAGUUUCGAUUUGAAAUUCACAUGAAAACCAAAAAUUUUUGCCACUGAUUUUUUAUUUUACAGAAAUAACGAUAUAUAUAUUUUUUUUGGGGGGGAAGUUAAUCAUGAGAAAACAAUAAAGAAUGAAUAUUCUGGUUCUAGAUAAGUUAUGUAAUUAAACAUCACCAAUCAAAUAGUAAGAGUGAUCAAUAUGAGAAAA